rfam:Populus trichocarpa scaffold_20_contig_15, whole genome shotgun sequence.
UAAUUUGUUUGGGACAAAUUAUCAUGUAGUUGUAGCAAAUCUACAUCUGACUGCUCAGCAUCACUUCUUAUCUCAAGCCUGGCUACAUUGAAAAUAAAUCUAAUGAAAAAUUAAUUGGAUGGAAAGUUUAAU